rnacentral:rRNA from 1 species
UACAGAGGUCUCAAGCGUUGUUCGGAUUCAUUGGGCGUAAAGGGUGCGUAGGUGGCGCUGUAAGUCAGGUGUGAAAUUUCGGAGCUUAACUCCGAAACUGCAUUUGAUACUGCGGUGCUCGAGGACUGGAGAGGAGACUGGAAUUUACGGUGUAGCAGUGAAAUGCGUAGAGAUCGUAAGGAAGACCAGUGGCGAAGGCGGGUCUCUGGACAGUUCCUGACACUGAGGCACGAAGGCUAGGGGAGCGAACGGG